AGAUAUUGGCCAAAAGAAUACUCCUCUUAUUCAUAGGGCAUCGCCAGAAGAAUCACGGAAAGCUGAAUUGAUUGCAAUAAUUGCUAGGAAGACUGCCGAGUUGAAUGAGCUCACUGCUGAAUUACGAGAAUUAGAAGAGCGUGGUGCUAGAGGCAUAAAAAAGAACAAGGAGAAAGAGGAUACGGUAACUGCUAAUGCAGAGAAUAAAAGCAAAGAGGAUACAAAAGCUAAUGAUAAUGAGAAUGUGGAAGAGAAAGUGAUAGAGGAUAAUGAAACCCACUUCAAGGAAAAUAUAGAAGAAGAAAAUGAGAAAGUCGAUAUUGAACAUGAAUUAGAUUUUUCUCAAAAUGAGGAAGGUGGUAAUGAUAAUAAGAGGGAAACCCCAUCCAUCAAACGGGCUGUCAGAAAGAGGAAGAGGAAGGAUGGACCCUUUGUCACUUCACCCUAUUUGCG